UAGGGAAUCUUCGGCAAUGGGGGCAACCCUGACCGAGCAACGCCGCGUGAGUGAAGAAGGUUCUCGGAUCGUAAAGCUCUGUUGUAAGAGAAGAACGUGUGUGAGAGUGGAAAGUUCACACAGUGACGGUAACUUACCAGAAAGGGACGGCUAACUACGUGCCAGCAGCCGCGGUAAUACGUAGGUCCCGAGCGUUGUCCGGAUUUAUUGGGCGUAAAGCGAGCGCAGGCGGUUUAAUAAGUCUGAAGUUAAAGGCAGUGGCUUAACCAUUGUUCGCUUUGGAAACUGUUAAACUUGAGUGCAGAAGGGGAGAGUGGAAUUCCAUGUGUAGCGGUGAAAUGCGUAGAUAUAUGGAGGAACACCGGUGGCGAAAGCGGCUCUCUGGUCUGUAACUGACGCUGAGGCUCGAAAGCGUGGGGAGCAAACAGG
rnacentral:rRNA from 1 species